rnacentral:rRNA from 1 species
CGGCGAACGGGUGCGUAACACGUGAGCGACCUGCCGAUCUGCGGGGGAUAGCCGGCCCAACGGCCGGGUAAUACCGCAUACGCUCUCCCUAGGGCAUCCUGGGGUGAGGAAACUUCCGGGGCGGAUCGAGGGGCUCGCGGCCUAUCAGCUAGUUGGCGAGGUAACGGCUCGCCAAGGCGACGACGGGUAGCUGGUCUGAGAGGAUGGCCAGCCACAUUGGGACUGAGAAACGGCCCAGACUCCUACGGGAGGCAGCAGUGGGGAAUAUUGCGCAAUGGCCGCAAGGCUGACGCAGCGACGCCGCGUGUGGGAGGACGCCUUUCGGGGUGUAAACCACUGUUGCCCGGGACGAACAACUGGCAUUGGCCAGUCUGACGGUACCGGGUGAGGAAGCACCGGCUAACUCCGUGCCAGCAGCCGCGGUAAUACGGAGGGUGCGAGCGUUGUCCGGAAUCACUGGGCGUAAAGGGCGCGUAGGCGGUGCGGUAAGCGUGCGGUGAAAGCUCGGGGCUCAACCCCGAGUCGGCCGUGCGAAC